ensembl:lncRNA
AGAGUUUUAAUCCUUAACCUAUCAACAUGAAACUUAACCUUUGGGUUCACACACUGAGCUAUAACAUAGAUGUUUUAUAGGAUUUAGAAGGCUCUUGUGAUUUGUGUGAUUGAGUGAUUUCAUUUCAGGUGAAAAAUGUUAAGGUUUUUUGUGUGUGUUAUAUUCAUUUAGUUCUUCACCAAUAACACAAACGUAUUUUUACACGUCAGAACACUCACAGGGGUUUGCCUUUAUCCCCACAGAAAAAAAUAUUUCUGGAGCAGAGGCCAAAAAACAGCCUCAGUGCACUGAGGCAGAGAGAGUUUAAUUACAUCAGUGUCACCUGGAAACUAUAAAUGCUGACAGAAUGGUCAAGGGCUUGUGUUUUAUAAAUAUCCAAUAUCUGAUGUAUCUAACUUUACUGACAAUAAAGCAGGAACCUGAAGUUGUUUGUUGCAAACAAACCAUACAUUUGAAAAAAAAAGGUUCUGACACAAUGCAUUGUCAGCAAGAGACCAAGUUUGUGAAUGUUGCUACACAUGAUUAAUCCUGGUAUCAACAAGCUGUAAUCACCCUCUCAACCCCCUACAAAACAUCCUUGAAUAAAUGGCCUGAAGAAAAUCUUAUUUAUACUCUUGUGUGCAUUACAUUAUAUAUGCUUCGGCCUAAUGCAUCCCCUCAUUCCUUUCUUCUGUUUGCAUAUGCAGUAAAGAGUACAACGGGGAAACACUGCAACAAUAAGUGUCACACACUUUGAGACAAUACACUGUUGGUUACCUUGCCUUGUAAUACCCAUGCUUUCAGAUCUAUGGGCCUAAUUAGACCGCAAAGAGCAGCGUUUGAGUUGGAGGGUCGGGGACAGCCACUGGCUGUGCAGGAUCCCCUACUGGGACGGGGCCUCUGCUCCUAUCCUGACUGUAAACCACGCCGUUUGAGGGGUGUGUUAGAAACAAAGUUCUCCACAGAGAACUAACCAAUAAUUUAACGGACAAAUGUUUUACUGUUCAAUGAAUACUUUUGAAUGUUAAAUACUUUACUACAAGCAUACAAGGAAAUCAUGAAAUUAUGCAUAACAAUCACUGGUAUACUGCAUAAUAAGAGAAAGAAGCUCUAGAAUACACUAAUUUUUGCUGAAACUAAAUAAUAGUUAAAGAAAAAGAAUCAUAAAGUAUUAUUAUAUUCGACAGUAACGAUGAAUUGAUUGCUAAAGUGUGCACUUAAGAUUGUGUGAAAAGCUUGCAACUCUGCUGUGAAGACACGACUUCUUCCAUGCUGCACUAAGUCUGCAAUCUAGUGUUUCACUUUGUAAGAUGAUAGUCACAAAAAAAGCUCUCAUUUUUCUCCACUGCACGCUUACCUUUAUUCUUAUUUCUUAAAGUGCUUUUAUUCCAUUAUUUCCCAUUUUAACGUUAUAUUCUCUUGGCUCUUUAAUUACCUCAAAUGUCUUUAACUGCCUUUCUUUGGCACUCAAAGCUUUUGAUAUUUUAUGCAAAGCACUUUGAUGCCUAUUUCUAAAUAAAUAAACCUGCUUUGCCUUGAGAGAUGGAGAGAGGAAAUGCUGACUAAGCGUCACUAACCAUUUCUUCAUGCAUUCAGUGCUUUGCUAAGCUUAGCUGGACCGAGAGCUCUUUCCGUGUGUUCACCAGCGUUCCAUCCCUAAUGGCGCAGAAUACAACGGUACAGACUUGUAUCGUGGAUACAGAUGUUUUUGGUACAUCUAUGUUAUUAGAAGAAAAUCACCCGGUUACCAAAAGGCCGCUGUGUUGACUGUCCGAGUCACAAAGAAGACAGGCAGAAUCAGAGUGAGGGGGUUUCGAGCUGUGAGGGUCUAUGAGCAGACCACAGCCUAAAUCCAAUGGAGUACCGCCUUUGAAAGGUGAUAAAUCGAAUAGGAAUUGGGUUGGUUUUGAUCUACUGAUGGCCAGAUGUCACUUCUUUGAGCUGCUUGAACUAGUGUGAUGUUUUGUUAGUCUGAAAAAGGUGUUUAUAUUACAAAAAUUUGAAUACCAUCAAUUUGAAGCGGCCUCUGCCAUUAUUACAGCAUUAAAUAUGUUGUUGGUUAGUCACCAUUCAGCAUGGUACAGUACUAAGUGGCACACAUUUGUUUACUGUUCAUCUAUAGAGCACAAAUGACUAAUUGUACAGAGAGUGAUGCAUUAACAUCCCCCAUUCAAGGUCCUUUUCAGCCCACUUGGCUUCAGUGUUCUGAUAUACAUCUGCAAGAUGAUCAUAUCUGCAAAGACUGUAAUGGAUGCAAGUUGAUUUUCAUUCUCUUCCUGUUUAAAGCAAAAGUCAACAUUUUACUCCCAGGUUAUGAUGUUAUUUGUUGUUGGAGCUCAAGCCGUUUUGGGAGAUUUGUGACUUAAUCAGUGAUGCUAAUUAAGUUACAAAUCUCAGCAAGUGUGUUUUUUCCUUUUCUUUUGACUUAAAGUAAAUUGGUAUAUUAAUAUUGUAUUGUGGUGAAAGCCUUUUUUGUCUCAUGUAUUUGAGCUACAUUAUUUUUUGAGCUUCAAGCUGUAGCCUGUCGAGUUGAAAUUCAACAUGCAUUUUCUGCAUGACCAUACUUCACACCUGCAGUGCAGUUUGCGUGCAGAAUACAUUUGACCUCUAUUGGCACGAGUUAGAAUAUUGAUCCUCUCUUCUUGAUGACAACCAAGAGUCAGCUGUAAUUGAUCCGAAUCAAUUAAAGCACUGAUAACCAUCAGGAAACUUCACAGUGUGAAAGCUAAUAGUAUCUGAGAAUGCACUUGUUUACUUAUGUGCAUACAACACUCUUAGCUGAUGCCAAAGCACUUUAAAUGAUAAAUUAUCUAUAAAGGAGUGCUCAGGUCUAAGCACAAAGGACGAAAUGGUUGUUGGGGGAGAUCAGAUAUUGCAGUAGCGCCUGCAGAUUAUUGCACAAUCGCUUAGAUUGCUUUGAUGGUUUAGAUUACCAUGGCACAUACUUUCAUUUUAAUUGAAAUUUAUAGUAAUCUGAAUCUGAAAAAAAUCUGUGUGCCUGGAUACAAAUGUCCUCUAUCUAUUGAACGUUUUUUCUGCUGAUGCUCAAAAAUGUAUCCAUCACUCCUGGUAUACCUUUGAAAAAUGUCGACCAGCGACCAACAACAACAACAACAUACUUGAAUCACUUCCUUUUGUCUUUCCAGCAUGCAUGCAGUUAGUUACGGUUUAAAACUCAUUAUGUAAUUCUUCUAAUUUUGAAAUGCAAAAAACAAAACAUGACAUGUUCCGUUUUUCACUGCCGAAGCCGUAAACCUGUUUUACCCUGAUUUGUCCUUCACAUAUGUUAGUAUCUGCUUGCACCCACAGGCUUACACCUACUAAUAGUAUUAAUAUUUGUGCUCUUUUCACUCUGGGUUCACAACGAAUUCCCUGUACUUCAGAUACAAGAUUUGCUGUAUAUCACUUAACUAUGAGAAAAGCCGGAUGGCUUGAGAACAAGCAUCAGCUCCGUGCCACACAAGCAGAGAUUAUCCCGAUGCAGCAGAAGCAGCGGAGACGGAGGCACAUCCCCACGGGCUGUCCAUUAUCAUUGUUGUUGGCUGGUUUCACACGUCUUCAGGCACAAAAUAUGUUUACAGGGUCAAUCACCUGCCACCUACUCAGUCUGAGUAAUUGGAAAUGACAACUGUUACAUAUUGAAUUUCCAGCAGAGAGGAAAUUCAGUUCCGUGCUUCAGUAAAUACUUAUUGCAUCAGCUGGGUCCUUUGUGCUUUACAUAAGCAGCUGCUCAAAUGACCUCAAAGAUGCUGUUGCAAUACAUUUACAUUUCACACUGCGUCUAACGGUGGCCAAUGAAAAAGCUCCGUCUGUCUUGGAAAGGGUUGCAAAAAUAAAGGUUAAAGUUUUGUGGAAAACAAUGACAUCACGUUGCAUUUGACAGAUUUUGACCCUUUGUGUACCAGUGUGCUAAGUGGUAGUGCUUCAGCCCACGUCUCAAUGGCUCUGCAGUUUAAGUAAAUCUGCAUAUUUCAUGAACAUGUACAAAUAUUCACUUUUCCACCUAGUGAAUGCACUUUUUGAAUUUUAAAGGUCUCUGGAUAAAAGCAUCAGUGAAAAAUAGAUAAUGUGAAGGUAAAAAUGUGUUUUUUAAAUGACUGAAAAAACAAUAAAAUAAAUAAAUUAUGCAAUGCAGAAAUAAGAGCUGAGAUUGCUCUUGUAAUGAAGAGCAGCCAGUGGUACCACUCAUUUUCUUCUGUCACUGUCAUUGAAUGAACUCAAUCAAGUCCAAUCUGUAAAAUUGGAAAUGGCUAACCCAAAUAAAUGUUUAGCAGGAGCAAGAGCGUCUCAUCAAUAAAGAAUGAAGAAUUAACAAACUGCAAAAUGUACAGAGUCAUUUGCCUAGCGUUAAAUAAAUCACUUUGAGUAGUUCAAUACAGCAUCAACGUAAGUUCUGGUACGAGCUACUUGAGCUUUUAAAAUAAUGAAAGCUAAUCACAAAGAUUGUGUGUGUGUGUGUGUCCUUCACCCUGCGCUCCUCAAAUAGCAUUUCGGACACACCCCAAAACAAACAGCCGCACGACUUACUUCAAUUAAGACUGAUGUGUGUAACAGAAGUAAUAAGAAGCACUCACUAUACUCCGUAUGUAAUGAAAACCUGACUUUAUUAAUAACAUAAUGAAAUUAAAUGUAUCUCUGUGGAAAUUGAUAUACAACAACGAGAGGCACAGAGACAGACAAGACGUUCAUGCUUAUUGUUUGCAGAUGUGACAAUUUAAAAAUCUAUUCUUACUACAUAUACAUUUUCACUUCUCGUGUGAGAGCUUUGCUUGGAAGCUCCUGCCAGCGAAAGUAGGCGUGUUUGAGAUGGCUAAGCACACAUGGAUUAAAUGUGUCAAUCAUUGGAUGCACUUUGAGUAAACAAGCUUACACGCUAUAAUAACAGCAGUGCUAACUUUAUGCUGCAGUUUAUUGUAUGUUACAGAUCUGAAUAUUGAGAAAAUGUAGUCUAAAGUGACUCUAAGUCAAUAUAUGUAACAAACAUGAUUAAAUAAAGAGAAAAAAAAGAGAAACACAACCUAAUGUAUCACAAGAUGUUUCAGCCUUAGAUAUUAUAGCUUCUCUCCACUGUAUAUGUCAGUAAUCUGGCAUCAUCUCACUUGAUAUGAAGAAAAGUGCUCUCACAAAUUAUAAUUUGAUGCUAAAAGAAGAAAAGAAAAUCCUGCUAGUGGCCUGGAUGCCAAAGGAGCACGUAAUUUUACUACCAUUGCUUGUCUUCAAUGUAAAUGUAAUUAUUAUUAUUAUUGUAUGUCACACACUUUCUCUGUAUACUUUGUUAUCUUUCCAACUGGUCCAUAAUAAAAUAUCCCUAAAAAUGUCUGCGCACCAGAGGAGCCGUAACAGAGUGUACAAUGAGGUUGAUACAGACACAGGUUACUAAAGGUAAUCUAUUUGUUUGUCCUUUAAACGAAUAAAUUCAACUUUCAAAGCAAUUGAAAUUAAUUUGUCAGUGAGAGCAUUUUAAAGAUUGCAAUAAUGACAAAUGCAAGAUCACGAGAGGACUUUUUGGAGUGGAGGAAUGAUUAUUGUUGCCUCCGGUGGGAAGAACUGAACACAAAUAUACUUUCUCUCAUAGAUUGCUGUAUGUAGUCAUGAUACAUGUGGGACUGUACUUCCUGUUUCACCUUUACCUGCACUUAUGACUAAUGAAAAUUCAAAUAAUCAUCAUGGUGGUAAAAGGACCUUCAUAGGAUAAUUAAAAUACAACGGCGGGUGACCACUCAGGAUAUUACAGAACCAGAGGUAAGCUACUCCUACCCAUCUCAGUUUAGUAAAUGAAGACAGGAUAUUUUUUUAAGAAAAAAAUAGUUACUGUCUGGAAAGCAAAGGUACAUACAUUCAUACAUUCAAAUAGAAAGUAUGGUUCGGCAUAUUAAUCAUAGUUAUUGGUAGAGUAAUAAUUUAAUCUUAUCAGCACACAGUACAAACAAUAAAAAGAGGAUCAAGCUGUAUCUUUUGCAGCAGUUAGGCCAGGGCGCAUAUUCUGUGUGACGCAAGUGCAAAUGCAAAUCUAUUGGUUUUGUAUUCCAACAGGCACUGCUGGUCAAACAUAAAUGAAACAUUAAAAAAACAACUAAUUAAUGCAAAUGUUCGUUGUUAGCGGUCUAAUGAAUUUUAAUGCAGGUUAUCAAUUCUGGAGCGAGCAAUCCACAAGAAAAUAAGAGGCUUUGCUUUACUAAGCUGCUGUCUGCUGUGCAAGCUAUCAGUCAAUGAGGAUAUUAACGCAGCAAAGGAACCUCCUUAAUCGAAUUAGAACCACAACUACGAUCAUCUGCCGUCUUGCUCUCAAACUUUCGCACUGUCCUCCAACCAGUUAUUUUGCGCAUGGCAAAUUGACAUCUACAUCCAGAAAGCAAUUAGUAGAUUGUCCUCGAGAUGAAAAUAUAAAUUCAUGGACAAGAGCAAAAGCAAUAUGAAGGCUGGAUAUUUUUUGUCAACCGCACUGAAUUGAGUCACCAUAAUGAUGUUUAAAUGGGCAUAAUGAGGGGGAAACAAGUAUUAGAUACAAUCUUACAUGUUUUUGUACAAAGGACACCCUGAAGCACAUAAACAAUCAAACAGAAUCUCGUUUUUGAAACAAAAAGUACUAAUCACUUACUUUAAUUAACUUCCCUUUUCUGCUCAGGAACGCCACGAGGGAAGUCAAAGUAUUUCUUGUUUACCCAGUAAAGACCAAACAAAAGGGAGAAUGUUUGUUAUGGAGGUUAUGGUGCAGUGGUCCAGAAUAUGCAAUGUUAAUAAAGCUGCCAACCACUAAAUCUCGGGGGAAAAUGAAAAGUGACUUAACUACUGUGGGGGAGGGAGAAUGGGCCCUCCAGUUGUGACUGUGCAUGAUUAUCAAGUGCGGUUAGGAAAAUAAAGGUUUGGC